rfam:Lepisosteus oculatus linkage group LG2, whole genome shotgun sequence.
AUACACGCUUGCUUAGAAAUUAUGAAGCUCAGCUCAGAGCUCAACCAAUCGUGUGCCUUCCUGUUACAAGUCUAGCUGGCUCUGACUAGCUGUAGAAGCUGCAUUACAGCAACAGAGCAGGGAUAACACUUAGUGUAAUCUGAUUAUCCUGAGAGUACUUAUUUACUA